rnacentral:lncRNA from 1 species
GAAAACUCUGAGAGCAUAAUAAAGUGUUAUUAUCUAAAUUUUUGCAAUAAAUGCAAUGCCAACGUUUGAUAAAUAUUCAAAAUUAGUUCUUCAACAAGUUACAUGUAUCCAUAAACUCUCCAACAAUCGCAAAUCACACUUUAUCCCUUUCACUUACAAAAAACAAUCCGUCUCUUUCAUUGACCUAAAUACGCACUGACAUCACCUGACCUAAUACGUCAUCUCAUGGGAUACUUCAGCAGCAUUGAUUUUGUAAAAUUGGUUUUAUACACACAAAACUAUUUUUCACGUGCACCUUAUGGUGCCUCAUGCAUGAAGGGUGAAGUCAUAUAGCACGAGACCUAUG